UAACACAUGCAAGUCGAACGGUAACAGGAAGAAGCUUGCUUCUUUGCUGACGAGUGGCGGACGGGUGAGUAAUGUCUGGGAAACUGCCUGAUGGAGGGGGAUAACUACUGGAAACGGUAGCUAAUACCGCAUAACGUCGCAAGACCAAAGAGGGGGACCUUCGGGCCUCUUGCCAUCGGAUGUGCCCAGAUGGGAUUAGCUAGUAGGUGGGGUAACGGCUCACCUAGGCGACGAUCCCUAGCUGGUCUGAGAGGAUGACCAGCCACACUGGAACUGAGACACGGUCCAGACUCCUACGGGAGGCAGCAGUGGGGAAUAUUGCACAAUGGGCGCAAGCCUGAUGCAGCCAUGCCGCGUGUAUGAAGAAGGCCUUCGGGUUGUAAAGUACUUUCAGCGGGGAGGAAGGGAGUAAAGUUAAUACCUUUGCUCAUUGACGUUACCCGCAGAAGAAGCACCGGCUAACUCCGUGCCAGCA
rnacentral:rRNA from 1 species